AACGAACGCUGGCGGCAGGCCUAACACAUGCAAGUCGAACGCAUGCCUUCGGGCAUGAGUGGCAGACGGGUGGGUAACGCGUGGGAACCUACCCCUUGGUACGGGAUAGCUCCGGGAAACUGGAGAUAAUACCGUAUGUGUCCUGAGGGACAAAGAUUCAUCGCCAGGGGAUGGGCCCGCGCCGGAUUAGCUAGUUGGUGGGGUAACGGCCUACCAAGGCGACGAUCCGUAGCUGGUCUAAGAGGAUGAUCAGCCACAUUGGGGCUGAGACACGGCCCAGACUCCUACGGGAGGCAGCAGUGGGGAAUAUUGGACAAUGGGCGCAAGCCUGAUCCAGCCAUGCCGCGUGAGUGAUGAAGGCCCUAGGGUUGUGAAGCUCUUUCACCGGUGACGAUAAUGACGGUAACCGGAGAAGAAGCCCCGGCUAACUUCGUG
rnacentral:rRNA from 1 species